rnacentral:rRNA from 1 species
UACAGAGGGCGCGAGCGUUAAUCGGAAUUACUGGGCGUAAAGCGCACGUAGGCGGCUUGGUAUGUCGGGUGUGAAAUCCCCGGGCUCAACCUGGGAACUGCAUCCGAAACUGCCUUGCUAGAGUAUGGGAGAGGGAAGUGGAAUUUCCGGUGUAGCGGUGAAAUGCGUAGAUAUCGGAAGGAACAUCAGUGGCGAAGGCGACUUCCUGGACCAAUACUGACGCUCAGGUGCGAAAGCGUGGGGAGCAAACAGG